rnacentral:rRNA from 1 species
CUUACCCAUGUCUUUUGAGUACCUUCGUUUCCUCGGCGGGUUCGCCCGCCGAUUGGACAAUUUAAACCAUUUGCAGUUGCAAUCAGCGUCUGAAAAAACAUAAUAGUUACAACUUUCAACAACGGAUCUCUUGGUUCUGGCAUCGAUGAAGAACGCAGCGAAAUGCGAUAAGUAGUGUGAAUUGCAGAAUUCAGUGAAUCAUCGAAUCUUUGAACGCACAUUGCGCCCCUUGGUAUUCCAUGGGGCAUGCCUGUUCGAGCGUCAUUUGUACCUUCAAGCUCUGCUUGGUGUUGGGUGUUUGUCUCGCCUCUGCGCGUAGACUCGCCUCAAAACAAUUGGCAGCCGGCGUAUUGAUUUCGGAGCGCAGUACAUCUCGCGCUUUGCAUUCAGAACGACGACGUCCAAAAG